GAAUCCCGUCUUUGGCAUGGAUGACCGGGGCUUUUGUGAUGCGCUCUCGAAAAGUCAAGUUGUUUGGGAAUGCAGCUCAAAAUGGGUGGUGAACUCCAUCUAAAGCUAAAUAUUGGCGAGAGACCGAUAGCGAACAAGUACCGUGAGGGAAAGAUGAAAAGCACUUUGGAAAGAGAGUGAAACAGUACGUGAAAUUGUUGAAAGGGAAACGCUUGAAGUCAGUCGCGUCGGCCGAGACUCAGCCUUGCCUCGGCUUGGUGUACUUCUUGACCGACGGGUCAGCAUCAAUUUUGCCCCUUGGAUAAUGGCGAGGGAAAUGUGACACCUUUAUAGGUGUGUUAUAGUCUCUCGUCGCAUGCAAGGGUCGGGGUUGAGGAACUCAGCACGCGCCUUCGGGCGUCGGGGCCUUGCCCACGAUACGUGCUUAGGAUGUUGGCGUAAUGGCUUUAAACGACCCGUCUUGAAACACGGACCAAGGAGUCUAACAUGCCCGCGAGUGUUCGGGUGGAAAACCCGUGCGCGCAAUGAAAGUGAAAGUUGGGACCUCUGUCGCGGAGGGCACCGACGCCCGGACCAGAGCUUCUGCGACGGAUCUGCGGUGGAGCGUGUAUGUUAGGACCCGAAAGAUGGUGAACUAUGCCUGAAUAGGGUGAAGCCAGAGGAAACUCUGGUGGAGGCUCGUAGCGAUUCUGACGUGCAAAUCGAUCGUCAAAUUUGGGUAUAGGGGGCGAAAGACUAAUCGAACCAUCUAGUAGCUGGUUCC
rnacentral:rRNA from 1 species